CCUACGGGUGGCAGCAGUGAGGAAUAUUGGUCAAUGGACGAAAGUCUGAACCAGCCAUGCCGCGUGCAGGAAGACGGCUCUAUGAGUUGUAAACUUCUUUUGUACGAGGGUAAACGCAGAUACGCGUACCUGUUUGCAAGUAUCGUACGAAUAAGGAUCGGCUAACUCCGUGCCAGCAGCCGCGGUAAUACGGAGGAUUCAAGCGUUAUCCGGAUUUAUUGGGUUUAAAGGGUGCGUAGGCGGUCGGAUAAGUUAGAGGUGAAAUCCCGAGGCUCAACUUCGGAAUUGCCACUGAUACUGUUAGGCUAGAGAAUAGUUGCGGUAGGCGGAAUGUGUGGUGUAGCGGUGAAAUGCUUAGAGAUCAUACAGAACACCGAUUGCGAAGGCAGCUUACCAAGCUACUUCUGACAUUGAGGCACGAAAGCGUGGGGAGCAAACAGGAUUAGAUACCCCUGUAGUC
rnacentral:rRNA from 1 species